UGCACCUCAACCAAGGCCCAACACCCAGCCCCUCUCCCCAAUUCCGCCGUCCGCUCCCACCGCGCAACCCGCCGGGGCGCCGCCGCCGGCGAUGACCACCCCGCAGUCCGUCUCCACCUCUCCCGCCCGUAUAUCCUACACGCCGACCUCCCCAUUUCCAAGAUCCUUGGGGAGGGAUUGCGGUCGGGUCCUCGCUUUCCCCGCUAGGCCGCGCGGUUUCUCGCUCCGCCUCAGGUCGUCGACUGUUAUGGCCGCCGCCGGCGUCGGCGGCAGCGGCUUCCCCCGCCGCGCCCGGAGACUCCACAGGGUCUUCUAGGAUCGGAGAGGUUAAGAGAGUGACCAAGGAGACAAAUGUGCAUGUGAAGAUAAACCUUGACGGCACCGGUGUUGCCAACUGUAGCACAGGGAUACCGUUCUUGGAUCAUAUGCUCGAUCAACUGGCAUCACAUGGACUCUUUGAUGUGUACGUUAAGGCAACAGGUGACACACACAUUGAUGAUCAUCACUCAAACGAGGACAUUGCUCUGGCAAUUGGAACGGCACUACUUCAAUCACUUGGUGAUCGGAAAGGGAUUAACCGAUUUGGGCAUUUUACUGCACCACUCGAUGAGGCAGCAGUUGAGGUUAUACUGGAUCUGUCGGGUCGUCCUCAUUUAAGCUGCGGCUUAGAUAUUCCUACUCAGAGAGUCGGUACAUAUGAUACACAGCUGGUUGAACACUUUUUCCAGUCUUUGGUGAAUACAUCUGGGAUGACUCUUCACAUCUGUCAGCUUGCUGGGAAGAACUCACACCAUAUUAUCGAGGCAUGUUUCAAAGCAUUUGCUAGGGCCCUUCGACAAGCAACAGAAUAUGACCUGCGCCGUCAUGGCACUGUCCCCAGCUCCAAAGGUGUUUUGUCAAGAUCAUAGCACUACAGGUUCAAACGAUUGCUUGCCAGCUUUUAGCUUGCAGCGAUCAGAGGAAACAAACAAAGCGGGCAGCUAUACACAGCUUGGUUUGUUCUGCUUUACAUCGGGAGUCUGCAUUACCUUUGACAACAAGUUAUGGCAUCCUUGCUAAUGAGAUUGUCAAAAAUCGAAUGUGCCACCACCCGGUAUUGGGCUUAUUUACAACAGCGGUCUAAUGCAUCUGCUCGCUGCUGCAAUUUUCUCUGCUGUCUGGAGCUACGAGAUUAUCUGAAGAUUGGAAAGGAGUAGACAAUAAGCUGCGACUCUGAAAGCAACUCCAGUCAGGAUUCAAGAAUAAUGCUGUGCCUUGUAUAAACUUUGCAGCAUGGGCUGAUUUGAGCCGCAUAUGUAAUGAUUGUCAUUUUUCAAGGGAAUAAAAUUGUUUCUGUGCGUCUA